UCCGCUCUCUCUCAAUUUCUCGACUGGCGCGGCGUGGUGGGUUUAGAGACGCCGGAAUCGAGUGGGGGUGCGGACGAUCGUCCUGGGGUUUCUCAUCCUUUUGUAAAACGUUCAUCUGUAAGGGGUCAUUUGGAUGCAUGUAAACUCCUUAAGUUGUAACCGGAUUAUAGGUAUAUGGCAGACUGGGAACGAUGUCAAGAUUGGACAGACUACAAGCUGGGCAAUGAAAACUUGAAGUUCAAAAUAUCUGCUCUACUUCUGUUUGUUCUUGAUAUUUUGUUCAGAUAUGGAUGGUGCUUACAUAGGCACAAUAUUCCCUCACCUAUUCUAGUGUAAUUGUAGUUAUAUAUUAGUUGAUUGCUGGAUUAAUCUAUGCCUUUCUCCUUGUGUAUGUUUGUCCUCUGCUUUAAAUUUUCUAUGACCAAUAAAUUCCUGGUUGUUUCCCUUGUUUUCCUUUUCAUCCUUAAAAUUCGAAUUAUUAAAAAAAUAAAAAUAAUAAAAAAUAAAAAAGAACUUUUUAUGCAGUUUUGCCUUGUUUGUUCAUCAAUAUAGCAUGCAUAUGAAUUAUUGUCAAUUGAUGCAGAAAAAUCUCUUAAGCCUAAGUUUGACAUACGGCAUAGUUCCUAGUGUAAUAUUACAAGUAUUCCUUCACAGAACUCAUUUAAUUGAUUGCAUUGUAUAAUUUUUUUUCCUUAGAGUCUCUCAGGUAGCUGAUGUUAGUAAUGCAGGUACCGGAGUCUUAUUGAGAGAGCUCUUAGAGCAAGGCUUGUGUACGGAAGUCGUCAUAUGAACCAAGCUGCUAGUUUUGAAUACAUGAAUCCUCAGUUGGUGUGGAAUGAUUCUCGCCUCUCGGCUUAUGUGAUUGACAACCUAGUCAUUUCUACACAAGCCUACCUCUUUGCUCCUUCAUUUGUGGAUAUUUACAAAGCCAUGGACUUCAUUCAUAAUAAGUGACUUGUUCUAAUGCACAGGUAUGCAUGUACAAGUCCUUUAGCCCCAUUGAGAUGUUAGCUUUUCAUGGUGCUAGUUCUUAUCAUUUUAAUAUAAGGAUUAGUCAUAUAUUUCAGCCCAUGAUCAAGGGCAUAAUGUUGUUGCUCUAACUGUUCGCUUAUUUGAUAUCUA